GGUGGCCGCAGAGAAUAGGCCCAAGCGACUGUUUACCAAAAACAUAGGUUUCUGCUAAGUCGCAAGACGAUGUAUAGGAGCUGACGCCUGCCCGGUGCUGGAAGGUUAAGGGGAUCUGUUAGAGCAAUCGAAGCAGUGAACUUAAGCCCCAGUAAACGGCGGCCGUAACUAUAACGGUCCUAAGGUAGCGAAAUUCCUUGUCGGGUAAGUUCCGACCCGCACGAAAGGCGUAACGAUUUGGGCACUGUCUCAACAACAGACUCGGUGAAAUUGUAAUUCCGGUGAAGAUGCCGGAUACCUGCGACAGGACGGAAAGACCCCAUGGAGCUUUACUGUAGCUUGACAUUGGGUCUUGGUACUACAUGUACAGGAUAGGUGGGAGGCUUUGAAACCAGGACGCCAGUUUUGGCGGAGCCAUCCUUGGGAUACCACCCUUGUAGUACUGGGACUCUAACCAUAGGCCAUGAAUCUGGUCUUGGGACACUGUCAGGUGGGCAGUUUGACUGGGGCGGUCGCCUCCCAAAAGGUAACGGAGGCGCUCAAAGGUUCUCUCAGUACGGUCGGAAAUCGUACGUAGAGUGUAAAGGCAAAAGAGAGCUUGAUUGCAAGACAUACAGGUCGAGCAAGGAUGAAAAUCGGACUUAGUGAUCCGGUGGUUCUGCGUGGAAGGGCCAUCGCUCAACGGAUAAAAGCUACCCUGGGGAUAACAGGCUUAUCUCCCCCAAGAGUCCACAUCGACGGGGAGGUUUGGCACCUCGAUGUCGGCUCAUCACAUCCUGGGGCUGUAGUAGGUCCCAAGGGUUGGGCUGUUCGCCCAUUAAAGUGGUACGCGAGCUGGGUUCAGAACGUCGUGAGACAGUUCGGUCCCUAUCCGUCGCAGGCGUAGGAAAUUUGAGGAGACCUGUCCUUAGUACGAGAGGACCGGGAUGGACGUACCUCUGGUGUACCAGUUGUUCUGCCAAGGGCAUGGCUGGGUAGCUAUGUACGGAAUGGAUAAGCGCUGAAAGCAUCUAAGCGCGAAGCCAACUUCAAGAUAAGAUUUCCCACCGCAAGGGUAAGACCCCAGAAAGACUAUCUGGUUGAUAGGUCGAAGGUGUAAGUGCAGCAAUGUAUUUAGCUUAUCGAUACUAAUAGGUCGAGGACUUGACCAA
rnacentral:rRNA from 1 species